rnacentral:rRNA from 1 species
UACGGGGGGGGCAAGCGUUGUUCGGAAUUACUGGGCGUAAAGGGCUCGUAGGCGGCCAACUAAGUCGGACGUGAAAUCCCCAGGCUCAACCUGGGAACUGCGUCCGAUACUGGAUGGCUUGAAUUCGGGAGAGGGAUGCAGAAUUCCAGGUGUAGCGGUGAAAUGCGUAGAUAUCGGGAGGAACACCAGUGGCGAAGGCGACUACCUGGCCCAUUCUUGACGCUGAGGCGCGAAAGCUAGGGGAGCGAACGGG